AUUGAACGCUGGCGGCAUGCUUUACACAUGCAAGUCGAACGGUAACAGGCCGCAAGGUGCUGACGAGUGGCGAACGGGUGAGUAAUGCAUCGGAACGUGCCCAGUCGUGGGGGAUAACUACUCGAAAGAGUAGCUAAUACCGCAUACGAUCUAUGGAUGAAAGCGGGGGACCGUAAGGCCUCGCGCGAUUGGAGCGGCCGAUGUCAGAUUAGGUAGUUGGUGGGGUAAAGGCUCACCAAGCCAACGAUCUGUAGCUGGUCUGAGAGGACGACCAGCCACACCGGGAACGGGGAACGGGCCAGACCUCCUAGGGGGGGCGGAGGGGGGGAAUUUUGAAAAAUGGGGGAAAGCCUGACCCAGCAAGGCCGGGGGGAGGAAAAAGGCUUUGGGGUUGUAAACUUGUUUUGUGGGGAACAAAAGGGCUUUGGUUAAACCCCGGGGCUAAUGCGGGUACCGAAAGAAUAAGCCCCGGCUAAUUACGU
rnacentral:rRNA from 1 species